rnacentral:ncRNA from 1 species
UUUGCUUAGGUCUGUGGUUGAAAGUCGAUGCCAGUCGCAGGCGAAACGACCCACGUAAGGAGCCCAAAGCGGCUUUGAGCAUGGUGCGGCUUAGAGGUAAGACCUGCCGGUCCCAGGAACAGACGUGUAUAAAGUAAAAGUUUGACCGAGAGGAACUGUAGUGAGGGGUUAAAUCCUAUUAGCGAAAUUCCCAGCAGGCGGGUGUGGGGUCAAAGACCAGGUCGGCUAAGCAGU